UUUCCUUCUUAAGUCAAACAACUUGAAUUUGAACAUUCCUCCGCUUCAAUCCUUAUCAUUUGGUACGAAGAGAGUUGCCUCUCCUUUCUCCGCGAGACAUACUUCCUUUGGAGUCGAGUUUUUCUUUGGCUUCUUAGAGCCUUAGGUCGACUUUGUUAGAGAGUGAUCCUACAUCUUUUUGAAUAUUAUUGAGUUUGAUUACUCUUUAAAAGUUACAAGCGAGAAAAUCUUAAUUUCUUUUCUUUGUCUCUUAGAGUUUUUUUAUUUAUUGCGAGUGUAUAACAGUGAGGUUUGCUUAGUUUUUCUUUUCUUGAGUUUUGUGUUCUUUUCGAGCUUUCAUAAUGAUUCACGAUACUAUGAUUGGGAAGUUGCAAAGGGAUCAAGAGGUUCGAAAUGCUCAAGAUUAGAAACGUGACACUAUUCUAGACACAAUCAGCAAAAUUUUAAAAUGUUUAAGUACCAAAAUUGAGCGUCAGAAUUGUAAUUGAGGAGAUAAGGUUGAUCAACCUCGUCUUCCUGCAAAUAAUGCUCGAUGUGUCUCUCGUGCAAAUGAUGAGACUUUGGUCAAUAAUGACCGUGGGCAACAUUUUUGAGCUAAAUCAAAGUUCAACAUUCCACCAUUCUGAGGGAGGUAUGAUCCCGAAGCAUAUUGUGAGUGAGACUCAAAAAUUGAACUUAUGUUUUGUUACUAUAAAUGUUGGAAAGAGGAAAAAGUCUUACUACAAA